UGGGGAAUUUUGUGCAAUGGGCGAAAGCCUGACACAGCGACACCGCGUGAGCGAAGAAGCCCUUUGGGGUGUAAAGCUCUGUCAGCUGGAACGAAACAAAUGACGGUACCAGCAGAGGAAGCAUCGGCUAACUACGUGCCAGCAGCCGCGGUAAGACGUAGGAUGCAAGCGUUGUCCGGAUUUAUUGGGCGUAAAGAGUUCGUAGGCGGUUCGUUAAGUCUGAUGUUAAAGAUCGGGGCUCAACCCUGGGAGUGCAUUGGAUACUGGCGGACUGGAGUGCGGUAGAGGCUAGUGGAAUUCCCAGUGUAGCGGUGAAAUGCGUAGAUAUUGGGAAGAACACCAGUGGCGUAGGCGACUAGCUGGGCCGUAACUGACGCUGAGGAACGAAAGCCAGGGGUAGCGAAUGGGAUUAGAUACCCCAGUAGUCUGGCCGUAAACGAUGGAUACUAGGCGUAGUGGGUAU
rnacentral:rRNA from 1 species